GUGCCUAUAGCUCAGCGGUAGAGUUCCAGAUUGUGGAUCUGGCUGUCGUGGGUUCGAACCCCACUAGGCACC
rnacentral:tRNA from 1 species